CCCCCUUAGGGAGCUGACUAGAGAGAAAGGCACAAGGUAGUGCCUGGUUCAUGUUAUCAGAAGACCCAAGAGAUCCCUUGGGUGCAGUUGCAUUAUAGAGAAGACAUCACAAGAUAUUUGAUGGCCAUGGGUGGUUAGCUGAACAGCACUUCUUGCUCUAGGCUGAGGCACCAGGUAUCCAUCUAGGAGGAAGUUAAAGACCGCACAGCACAUUUCCAAAAGAGCA